rnacentral:rRNA from 1 species
CCGAACCUGAAUAUCCGUUAUGGAAAAUUCAUCAUUAGAAUUGUAAUAUUUAAACAAUAUUAUAAUAAUAGUGUGCAUUUUUUCCAUAUAAGGACAUUGUAAUCUAUUAGCAUAUUAAUUUAUCAUAAAAUUAUGGCAUAUAGUUUAUUUCAAUUAAAAUGCUUGCGUUUUAACAUGAAAUAAAAGCUGUAAAUUUGAUAAAGUGCUGAUAGAUUUAUAUCAAUACAGUGCGUUAAUUUUUCGGAAUUAUAUAAUGGCAUGAUUAUCAUUGAUUUUUGUGUUUAUUAUAUGCACU